rnacentral:rRNA from 1 species
GCGAGUGAAGCGGCAACAGCUCAAAUUUGAAAGCUGGCUCCGGCCCGCAUUGUAAUUUGCAGAGGAUGCUUCUGGCGAGGUGCCUUCCGAGUUCCCUGGAACGGGACGCCAUAGAGGGUGAGAGCCCCGUAUGGAUGGACACCAAACCUGUGUGAAGCUCCUUCAACGAGUCGAGUAGUUUGGGAAUGCUGCUCUAAAUGGGAGGUAAAUCUCUUCUAAAGCUAAAUACCGGCCAGAGACCGAUAGCGCACAAGUAGAGUGAUCGAAAGAUGAAAAGCACCUUGAAAAGGGGGUUAAACAGUACGUGAAAUUGUUGAAAGGGAAGCGCUUGUGACCAGACUUGCGCCGGGCAGCUCAUCAGGGGUUCUCCCCUGUGCACUCUGCCCGGCUCAGGCCAGCAUCGGUUCUCGUGGGAGGAUAAGAACGGUAGGAACGUGGCCCCCCUCCGGGGGGGUGUUAUAGCCUGCCGUACGAUACUCCCGUGGGGACCGAGGUUCGCGCUCCGCAAGGAUGCUGGC